AACGAACGCUGGCGGCAUGCCUAACACAUGCAAGUCGAACGAGACCUUCGGGUCUAGUGGCGCACGGGUGCGUAACGCGUGGGAACCUGCCCUUAGGUUCGGAAUAACUCCCCGAAAGGGGUGCUAAUACCGGAUAAUGUCUUCGGACCAAAGAUUUAUCGCCUUUGGAUGGGCCCGCGUUGGAUUAGCUAGUUGGUAGGGUAAAAGCCUACCAAGGCGACGAUCCAUAGCUGGUCUGAGAGGAUGAUCAGCCACACUGGGACUGAGACACGGCCCAGACUUCUACGGGAGGCAGCAGUGGGGAAUAUUGGACAAUGGGCGAAAGCCUGAUCCAGCAAUGCCGCGUGAGUGAUGAAGGCCUUAGGGUUGUAAAGCUCUUUUACCCGGGAUGAUAAUGACAGUACCGGGAGAAUAAGCUCCGGCUAACUCCGUGC
rnacentral:rRNA from 1 species